CGAGCACUCUUACUCCGAAGAUGAACGGGACUAAGCGAUCUGCCGAAGUUGUGGGAUGUAAAAAUACAUCGGUAGGGGAGUGUUCCGCCUUAGAGGGAAGCACCGACGCGAGAAGGUGUGGACAAAGAGGAAGCGAGAAUGUCGGCUUGAGUAACGCAAACAUUGGUGAGAAUCCAAUGCCCCAAAAACUUAAGGGUUCCUCCACAAGGUUCGUCCACAGAGGGUGAGUCAGGGCCUAAUAUCAGGCCAAAAGGCAUAGUCAAUGGACAACAGGUUAAUAUUCCUGUACUACCCCUUGUUGGUCCUGAGGGAUGGAGGAGGCUAGGUUAGCCAAAAGAUGGUUAUCGGUUCAAGGACGCAAGGUGACCCUACUUUUUUCAGAGUAAGAAGGGGUAGAGAAAAUGCCUCAAGCCAAUGUACGAGUACCAAGCGCUACAGCGCUGAAGUAACCCAUGCCAUACUCCCAGGAAAAGCUCGAACGACCCUUAACAAACAGGUACCUAUACCCGAAACCAACAUAGGUAGGUAGGUAGAGAAUACCUAGGGGUGCGAGACAACUCUCUCUAAGGAACUCAACAAAAUAGCCCCAUAACUUUGGGAGAAGGGGUGCCUCCUUAGGAGGUCGCAGUGACCAGGCCCGGGCGACUGUUUACCAAAAACACAAGUCUCUGCAAAGUCGUAAGACCAUGUAUGGGGGCUGAUGCCUGCCCAGUGCUGGAAGGUUAAGGAAGUUGGUGACCUGAUGAUGGGGAAGCCAGCGACCGAAGCCCCGGUGAAUGGCGGCCGUAACUAUAAUGGUCCUAAGGUAGCAAAAUUCCUUGUCGGGUAAGUUUCGACCCGCACGAAAGGCGUAACGAUCUGGGCACUGUCUCGGAGAGAGACUUGGUGAAAUAGACAUGUCUGUGAAGAUGCGGACUACCUACACCUGGACAGAAAUACCCUAUGAAGCUUUACUGUUCCCUGGGAUUGUCUUUGGGUUCUUCUUGCGCAACUUAGGUGGAAGGCAAAGAAGGCUCCUUCUCGGGGGGUCCUGAGCCACCAGUGAGAUACCACUCUAGAAAAGCUAGAAUUCUAACCUUGUGUCAGGACCUACGGGCCAAGGGAUAGUCUCAGGUAGACAGUUUCUAUGGGGCGUAGGCCUCCCAAAAGGUAAUGGAGGCGUGUAAAGGUUUCCUCGGGCCAGACGGAAAUCGACCCUCGAGUGCAAAGGUAGUAGGGAGCUUGACUGCAAGACCCACCCAUCGAGUAGGGAUGAAAGUCAGCCUUAGUGAUCCGACGGUGCCGAGUGGAAGGGUCAUCGCUCAACGAAUAAAAGUUACUCUAGGGAUAACAGGCUGAUCUUCCCCAAGAGUUCACAUCGAUGGGAAGUUUUGGCACCUCUAUGUCAGCUCUUCGCCACCUGGGGUGGUAGUACGUUCCAAGGGUUGGGUUGUUCGCCCAUUAAAGCGAUACAUGAGCUGGGUUCAGAAUGUCGUGAGACAAUUCAGUCCAUAUCUAGUGCAGGUGUUAGAGCAUUGAGAGGACCUUUCCCUAGUACGAGAGGAUCGGGAAGGAUGCACCUCUGGUGUACCAUUUAUCGUGCCCACAGUAGACGUUGGGUAGCCAAGUGCAGAGUGGAUAACAACUAAAAUCAUAUAAGUAGGAAGCCCACCCUAAGAUGAGUUCUCUCCUAUUCUUAUUUCCCUGAGAUCCCUAGUCGCGAACACCAAAAUCUCUCCCUUGCCUCUCCAUCAGAUAGAAGGGUAGAGGAGGGUUCUCUACCUGGAAGGGAUACCCCUUCAGUGUCCUUUUCAGAAUUGGGGCCUCACAAUCAUUAGCCAAUAUGCCUUUCGCGCAU
rnacentral:rRNA from 1 species